GUGUGAUCAAGUUACUAAGAGCGUACGGGGGGAUGUCUUGGCGUCAAGAGGCGAUGAAAGACGUGAGAGCCUGCGAUAAGCCCAGGGGAGUUGGCAACUAAACUGUGAUCCUGGGAUUUCUGAAUGGGGCAACCCACCCGAAAGGGUAUUUGCAUCUGAAUGAAUAGGGUGCAAAAGCGAACCUGGGGAACUGAAACAUCUAAGUACCCAGAGGAAAAGAAAGCAACCGCGAUUCCGUAAGUAGCGGCGAGCGAAAACGGACAAAACUGAAUUCACGUGAACGACUUGGAAAGGUCGGCCAAAGAAGGUGACAGCCCUGUCAUGUGAAAGCAGUGUAGCCCUAGAGUAGCGCCGGGCUCGUGAAACCCGACGUGAAUAUGGGGGGACCACCCUCCAAGGCUAAAUACUCCUUGACGACCGAUAGUGGACAAGUAAGGUGACUGAAAGAUGAAAAGCACCCCCGGAUAAGGGGGAGUGAAAAGGACCUGAAACCGUACGCUUACAAGCGGUCGGAGUCUGUCUUCGGACGGAUGACGGCGUGCCUUUUGCAUAAUGAGCCGGCGAGUUGGCCUCUGUGGCAAGCUUAACCCAUACACUGGGGUAGGCGCAGCGAAAGCGAGUCUUAAAAGGGCAUCGAGUCGCAGGGGUCAGACGCGAAACCUAAGUGAUCUACCCAAGGCCAGGCUGAAGGGAGGGUAAAACCUCCUGGAGGGCCGAACACGUGAACGUUGAAAAGUUCUGUGAUGAGCUUUGGGGAGGAGUAAAAGGCCAAUCAGACUGGGAGAUAUCUCGUUCUCCUCGAAAUAGUUUUUGGGCUAGCCUCGCUUGUUAACUCGCAGGGGUAGAGCGACUGGAUGGAAAUGAGGUCCUAACCCGAUGCUCGUUCCAACCAAACUCCGAAUACUGCGACGAAUUAAGCGGGAGUCAGUCUGCGAGGGAUAAUCUUCGUAGACAAAAGGGAAACAACCCAGACCACCAGCUAAGGUCCCAAAUCAUGCCUUAGUUCGAAAGGAAGUUAGAAUCCGGUGACAGCCAGGAUGUUGGCUUAGAAGCAGCCACCAUUUAAACAACGCGUAAUAGCGGACUGGUCGAGGAUUUUAGCGCCGACAAUGAUCGGGAAUAAGACGUGAACCGAAGCUGUGGAUUUCGAAAGAAAUGGUAGAGGAGCGUUCCUGCCAGCGUUGAAGCGAAACGGUAACGUUUCGUCGAGCGGCAGGAAGUGAAAUGCCGGCUUGAGUAACGAAUAAGACA
rnacentral:rRNA from 1 species